GGAAAAGGAGGGGGCGAGCCUGAGUGGAAAGCCGAGGUUGGAAGAGAAGGACUUGGAAAGCGAGGUUGGCGAGCCCGGUGCAUUUCUUAACUCUGUCUACUGAAAAAUCCAGAAGCACUGACAACACAAUAGCCAAAAACACCAACUGUUACCAGAUUAUGGCUCCUAAAGACCAUUUCCAGUUUUCAGUAAAGAAGAUUAUCCUUGCUAAUCUGUGUGAGUUUGAAGAGUAGAACUGAGGUUCUCUGAGUAAGAAGAAAUUCCUCCUGUGGACUGCAGCUUCGCUUCUGCCUGAGUUUCCAGCCUGCCUUCCUGACAGCCUACCAAAUAGAUUUUUGGAUUUAAUACCCAGCCCGAACUAUCAUGUAAGCCACUUCCUUGCAAUAAAUUUAUUUACGUGUAUCUUA